GAUGAACGCUGGCGGCGUGCUUAACACAUGCAAGUCGAGCGAGAAAAGUUCUUCGGAGCUUUUCUAGCGGCGGACGGGUGAGUAACACGUGGGCAACCUGCCUCAUAGAGGGGAAUAGCCUUCCGAAAGGAAGAUUAAUACCGCAUAACAUUGUUGAAAGGCAUCUUUUAACAAUCAAAGGAGCAAUCCGCUAUGAGAUGGGCCCGCGGCGCAUUAGCUAGUUGGUGAGGUAACGGCUCACCAAGGCGACGAUGCGUAGCCGACCUGAGAGGGUGAUCGGCCACGUUGGAACUGAGACACGGUCCAGACUCCUACGGGAGGCAGCGGUGGGGAAUAUUGCACAAUGGGGGAAACCCUGAUGCAGCAACGCCGCGUGAGUGAUGAAGGUCUUCGGAUUGUAAAGCUCUGUCUUUAGGGACGAUAAUGACGGUACCUAAGGAGGAAGCCACGGCUAACUACGUGCCAGCAGCCGCCGUAAAAC
rnacentral:rRNA from 1 species